rnacentral:rRNA from 2 species
GUGAGUCAUCGAAUCUUUGAACGCACCUUGCGCUCCUUGGUAUUCUGAGGAGCAUGCCUGUUUGAGUGUCAUUAAUAUAUAUCAACCUCUACAACUUUGUUGAGUUGUUGGAUGUGGGGGUUGUUGCUGGCCUCUCUGUGAGGUCAGCUCCCCUGAAAUACAUUAGCAGAACAAUCUCUGUUCAUUGGUGUGAUAACUAUCUACGCUAUUGAAUGUGAAGUAGUUUGGCUUAUAAACAGUCCAUUGACUUGGACAAAUUUCUCAUUAAUGUGACCUCAAAUCAGGUAGGACUACCCGCUGAACUUAAGCAUAUCAAUAAGCGGAGG